rnacentral:rRNA from 1 species
GAUGAACGCUGGCGGCGUGCCUAACACAUGCAAGUCGAACGGAACACUCGUUUUCGGAUGAGUGUUUAGUGGCGAACGGGUGAGUAACGCGUGAGUAACCUGCCUUUCAGAGGGGGACAACAGCUGGAAACGGCUGCUAAUACCGCAUAACAUAUUCGGACGGCAUCGUCUGAAUAUCAAAGAUUUAUCGCUGAAAGAUGGACUCGCGUCUGAUUAGCUAGUUGGUGAGGUAAUGGCUCACCAAGGCUUCGAUCAGUAGCCGGACUGAGAGGUUGAACGGCCACAUUGGGACUGAGAUACGGCCCAGACUCCUACGGGUGGCUG